rnacentral:lncRNA from 1 species
CAGGAAAGCCUUGCAUUUGGUAGAGAUAUCAGUCAUUGUGCUCAUAACAGUUCUAAAUAUCCUGCUUGGUGUGAGAGAGGAACGACUCAAAAAAACAGAAAUGUCAAAAAAGAUUGGCAGGUUUUUAACACGAUGCCAGGGUAAGUAAAAAAAAUCUAGUGAUCUGUGGGUAUGUUGCCCUGGGAAAUGGAAGUCAUUUGGGGGAGGGGCCGGGGGGUGUCCUGAUAUUUUGACCACGUUUUGGCGAACAUUUUGAGCAACUUUUCAAAGAUCUGACUCAAAUUCGUGAUGGAAAAACUGAAUGCUUAAGAAGUGGUCAAAAUACUUUUUCUUUGCGUUUUUGAGAACUACUAUAAUCAGUUGACAAUGUAAACCAAUUUGAAAAACCAAAAAAUGACCAACUAUUUUGACCAAAUAUUUACCUUUUUGACCCACUUUUUGAACUUAAAUAUUAUUGGGGUGCCACACUCCCCCCCCCCCCCNNNNNNNNNNNNNNNNNNNNNNNNNNNNNUUAAAAAUUUUUGGGGGGCCCCCCCCCCCCCCCCCCCCCCCACACAUACACGCGCAGUAGCGACGUCGCUAAAUCACGUUUUUAAAUCAAAUGCAUUUCCUGCUCAGCAUAUAGAAUGUCGUGUCCUUGGUCAGAGAGCUCGUACCCACACCUGGGCACACCCAGUACCGACUCGCUGUCGUUAGUUUGGACAUAUCGCAAGGAUAAGCUGGUCAAUGUUCCGGCUAACCUGUUGGUCGAGGGUGAUAUGAUUGUGUUGGGGCCUGGGCAGGAAUGUCCUGCUAAAGUACAACAGGUAU